rnacentral:tRNA from 1 species
CCGACCUUAGCUCAGUUGGUAGAGCGGAGGACUGUAGAAGGUGAAGGGCCUGUUAGCCAUCCUUAGGUCGCUGGUUCGAAUCCGGCAGGUCGGA